UUGCCCUAGUAACGGCGAGUGAAGCGGCAACAGCUCAAAUUUGAAAUCUGGCUCUUUUAGGGUCCGAGUUGUAAUUUGCAGAGGGCGCUUUGGCUUUGGCAGCGGUCCAAGUUCUUUGGAACAGGACGUCACAGAGGGUGAGAAUCCCGUACGUGGUCGCUAGCCUUGGCCGUGUAAAGCCCCUUCGACGAGUCGAGUUGUUUGGGAAUGCAGCUCUAAAUGGGAGGUAAAUUUCUUCUAAAGCUAAAUACUGGCCAGAGACCGAUAGCGCACAAGUAGAGUGAUCGAAAGAUGAAAAGCACUUUGGAAAGAGAGUCAAAUAGCACGUGAAAUUGUUGAAAGGGAAGCGCUUGCAGCCAGACUUGCCUGUAGUUGCUUAUCCGGACUUUUGUCCGGUGCACUCUUCUGCGGGCAGGCCAGCAUCAGUUUGGGCGGUUGGAUAAAGGGCUCUAUCACGUACCUCCUUUCGGGGAGGCCUUAUAGGGGAGUCGUCAUGCAACCAGCCUGGACUGAGGCCCGCGCAUCUGCUAGGAUGCUGGCGUAAUGGCUGUAAGCGGCCCGUCUUGAAACACGGACCAAGGAGUCUAACAUCUAUGCGAGUGUUUGGGUGUCAAGCCCAGACGCGUAAUGAAAGUGAACGGAGGUGGGAACCCUUUGGGUGCACCAUCGACCGAUCCUGAUGUCUUCGGAUGGAUUUGAGUAAGAGCAUGGCUGUUGGGACCCGAAAGAUGGUGAACUAUGCUUGAAUAGGGUGAAGCCAGAGGAAACUCUGGUGGAGGCUCGCAGCGGUUCUGACGUGCAAAUCGAUCGUCAAAUUU
rnacentral:rRNA from 1 species